rfam:Mesorhizobium loti R7A genomic scaffold MesloDRAFT_Scaffold1.1, whole genome shotgun sequence.
GUAGUGGUAGCGUCAGUUGGAUAGAGCGCUCGCCUGCUAAGCGAGAGGACGCGGGUUCGAGCCCCGCCCACUCUC